UUUCUCGUUAUCCAUUGUAGUUGUUUUCAGUAAUGAGUCAAGCUUGGUAUAAAUACCUAUAUUACCACUAACUAAUAGGUGAUUCUGGAAGAGCUACUUAACCUCCCUCUACUUCAGAUCGCUUUUCUGUAAAAUAUGAAAUUUAAUAAUACCUAACUCCUAAAAUUUUUAUAUGAAUUAAUUGUGAAAAUACAUGAGCAUAGCUUAGCUAGUUUCUGUUGCAAACAAUUUUCUCAAUAAGUUGGUAUUUUUAAGCAUUGUUCUUUCUAAGAAUAUUAACCCAUUCUGGCUUUAUAAGGCUUCUCUUGGGGAAUUACUUAGCAAGGAAUUAUUUCCCUGCUUUGAAGGUAGACCUGUGUUUAUGUACAAACAUUACCAAAAUCAUUCUGACUUUCCUUCUUAAUCUCUUUUUUUAACCAGACCCUCCAUCUAUUCUCUAGCUUGUCUACUGCUUUUAAGUGGAAUUUGCUUGAUCAAAUGCUUCUAACAAGGUGGAUUUAAAAUGCAGCUCAAGCCAGCUGUACUUAUUUGGAGUUUAUGAGGCAUAAUUAGUUUUUAGGAGACUGUGUAGAGGUUAACAUUAUUUUUUUGGUUGUGAAUCACAUACAGAGCACUUUAUUUUUGCAAAGAGUUUUGGCAUCUUUGCAAAAUUUAAAGUCAAAAGUGACUCAGUGGAGAAUAUGUCACCCAUUGCAGAUGGGAAAGGAAAGCCAAAAGGACUUAAAUAAUUGCAGAGCAAGUUCAUUCCUAACCAGAGGGUCAAAGUUUGGGUUUCCUAAGGACUGGCUCAACCAAGUUCACCCAAGACCAACUCAACCAGGAAAAAAAAGAAAAAGAUAAAACAGAAAAUUCACCUUCAGAGAAAUAGCAAGCUGGGUAUCACGACAGACUAACAGAUGGGAAAUUACACAGGGCAGUGACUGCCAGGAUGAUUCACCAAACAAGGAAUCUGCUCCACAUUCAGCUGUCCAGAUCAUCUCAGCAAGGGGCAACACACAAUUUGAGGAGACGGGUAAAUGUUGACCCUUCUUUCUAGCGACUCUUCGUAAGUAUGUGGUCUUGGGAGACACUUAGCUUUUUCAUGCCUUGUUUUUAUGAUCUGUUUUUAAAAGAAGGGGAUAUGGGGUUUCUUGGGAUGAAAUAUUAUAAAGCACAGGAGAAUCUGUGAACUAAAAAGUUCUUUGCAAUAUGAUUUAUUUAUGAAGAAAAGGCACCAUAAUAAGGUUUGCAAAGUCAAGGAAAUCUGGUUAUUUUACAAUAAAAAAAUGAAAUCGAUAGAAUUAGAACUUAUC
rnacentral:lncRNA from 13 species